GCGGCUGGUGCCGGGGAAGGUGGAGCAGCGCCCGAGCAGCGGCUACAGGGCGGAUCAACUGCAGCGAGCGGCUGCGCUCGGCUCCAGCUGGCUUGUGGCCUUCUUGUAUUAUGAGCACCGGAACGGGACACAGGAUUCCAGCAGCGAUUGCACCACUCUCAAAUACAGAGGUCAUUGAUAAAAAUGUUAAAUAGCAUGUGCCUAGGGCCAAGAACCAAUUCCUGCGGGACCCCACAGAAACGGACCCACUUGACAAUGAUUCUUUGCUUACAAUUACAUUUUGAGAUCUAUCAGUUAGCCAAUUUUCAAUCCAUUUAAUGUGUGCCAUGUUAAUUUUAUAUUGUUCUAGUUUUUUAAUCAAAAUGUUGAGUGGUACUAAGUCCAACACCUUUCAGAAGUCUAAGUGAAUUGCAUCAAUGCGAUUACCUUUAUCAAGCAAAUUUGUAAUCUCAUAAAAAAGAUAGGCUCUAUUUCCAUAAAUCCGUAUUGAUUUGCAUUAGUUACAUUACUCUCCUUUAAUUCUUUAUUAAUUCAGUCCAAGAGCAGCCACUCCAUUAUCUUGCCCAGGAUCGAUGUUAGAUUGACAAGCCUGUAAUUACCUGGGUUUAUAAUUUUUAAAAAUUGGGACAAUGUUAGCUUUCUUCUAGUCUUCUGGGACUUACCCCAUGCUGGAAGACUUAUUGAAAAUCAAUGUUAAUGGUCCUGCAAGCUCCUUUUAAAACUCUUGGAUACAAGUUUUCUGGACCUUAGAAAAAUAAGUCAUAAAAAUGUCUAACUUCAGUCGUCUGUUCUCCAGCAACACUAGUAGAAUGGAAAGUGUGUUAUUACCAUAUGAUGAGACUAUAUCUGUGUGUUCCCCAAAUACAGAACAGAAAUAUUUAUUGAACACUUCUGCCAUUUCUGCAUUACUAGCCAUGAUUCUACCAUCUCCAUCCAGUAACAGACCAAUACCAUUGUCAGGGGAUUCUUUUUCUUCCAAUUAUAUUUUAAAAAUCCUUCUUAUUGUGCUCAACUCUGCUGGCCAUACAUUUCUCCUUGUGUUCUUUGUUUCCCUUAUCCAUUUUAUACCUUUCCUAAAUUCUGAUUUAUAUUAUUUACUAUCAAUUUCCCCU